AAUAGUUCGCUGUUUAUCCUAUUUGUUCUACUGUCAUGGUGCCUGAUUGAUACAACUGGUGGUGUUGUAAUACAUUCAAAACGUACAGGAGGGUGUGUUCGUGUAUGUCAUUCUAUAUGUCUCACUGCAUGUCAAAAAUGUCAUGAAAAGUGUGCCAUUGUUUGCAACAAUGCGUGUCGCAGAAAGAAAAGUGGGGUUCCUCAGCUUCCAUGUGCGUUCGCGGCUUGGGACAAAAACGGAGACAGCCAUGUUGAUUUUGAGGAGUUUUUGUCCGUUGCCUACCCAUUUUUUGACAAGAGACAUCUCUCGGUCGUCUUUCAAUCAAUAGAUACUGAUAGAAAUCAGAAAAUUUUGGAGACUGAGAUGAAAGAAGCUAUAUUUCUGUUCGAACAUUGUUAGCAAACAAUGCCACUGAUCGUGAAAUAAAUCAUUUCAGUAGCAAUUA